rnacentral:rRNA from 1 species
AACGAACGCUGGCGGCAGGCUUAACACAUGCAAGUCGAACGCCCCGCAAGGGGAGUGGCAGACGGGUGAGUAACGCGUGGGAAUCUACCCAUCACUACGGAACAACUCCGGGAAACUGGAGCCAAUACCGUAUACGUCCUUCGGGAGAAAGAUUUAUCGGUGAUGGAUGAGCCCGCGUUGGAUUAGCUAGUUGGUGGGGUAAUGGCCUACCAAGGCGACGAUCCAUAGCUGGUCUGAGAGGAUGAUCAGCCACACUGGGACUGAGACACGGCCCAGACUCCUACGGGAGGCAGCAGUGGGGAAUAUUGGACAAUGGGCGAAAGCCUGAUCCAGCCAUGCCGCGUGAGUGAUGACGGCCCUAGGGUUGUAAAGCUCUUUCGCAGGUGAAGAUAAUGACGGUAACCUGAGAAGAAGCCCCGGCUAACUUCGUGCCAGCCGCCGCCGUAACAC